GUUGAAGAACGGUUUCUCGUACGAUCACGGAAGUUAAGCAACGUCGAUCCUGAGCAGUACCUAGAUGGGUGACCUCUUGGUAAUACCAUCUGCUGUAAG